rnacentral:tRNA from 3 species
GCGGGAGUGGCGAAAUUGGCAGACGCACUAGAUUUAGGUUCUAGCGUUGAGAGACGUGUGGGUUCAAGUCCCACCUUCCGCACCA